GAUGAAGAACGCAGCAAAAUGCGAUAAGUAAUGUGAAUUGCAGAAUUCAGUGAAUCAUCGAAUCUUUGAACGCACAUUGCGCCCGCUGGUAUUCCGGCGGGCAUGCCUGUUCGAGCGUCAUUUCAACCCUCAAGCCCCCGGGUUUGGUGUUGGGGAUCGGCUCUGCCCUUCUGGGCGGUGCCGCCCCCGAAAUACAUUGGCGGUCUCGCUGCAGCCUCCAUUGCGUAGUAGCUAACACCUCGCAACUGGAACGCGGCGCGGCCAUGCCGUAAAACCCCAACUUCUGAAUGUUGACCUCGGAUCAGGUGGGAAUACCCGCUGAACUUAAGCAUAUCAAUAAGCGGAGGA
rnacentral:misc_RNA from 1 species